rnacentral:lncRNA from 1 species
AAGGAACGGUGACCACAAGGCUAGGUCCAGUGUGAGUUUGGGCUUGUCUACUGAGCGAUCCUAUGACAUCUCUGUUGAUAACAGUCAGACCUGCCAGGCUUACUGGGAACUCAAGUGCCCGGCGUGUGUGAUAUAUCUGCCAUGAUCCCUUUGUAAGAGUCACUUGCAUUUCAGACAGAGAAACACGCUCAGAGCUGGGUAUCAGUUGGUGAGGCACUGGCAUUCCACAGUCAGUUGAGUUAAUCCCUUGCAGAGGUCCCGGAGAUAUUUCCACUGCUGCUGUCUUCUCUUCUAAACUGGUCAUCCGAAUAUGAUAAAUUCGAGUUUUACUGCUAAGAUUAGCUAUUCCGUCAGCCCUCGCCCUGUGAAGCGAGGUGGUUUUGAACAUGCACAUUAAAGAAGUGAAAGGAAGGCAAGUCUGGCUGUAUCAUCUAAAAUGUGAUUGCCUCCGUGGGUAAGUCAAGAGGCUUCCUUUGAACAGGAAACGUGGAUGUCUUCACAAAGCCUACAUGAAGUGCAAAGACAGAGGAAGCCUCCAGACUGUGCAGAUUUCCCAGGCCUCGCCACUGAAGCUCAGCUGACCGAGGACUCAAGAUCACAGAAGACUUUUCCCAGAAUCAUUGGCUGUUCCUGUAUUCUUGGUUGGCUUGCUCCGGAGAAGCAAGCUCAGUCUCAGGUCCUCCUGGCCCAGGAGAGUGAAGUGAAGGGGGAUGCCCUGGAGGCAGAAAGGUGGGGUUUGCUCUUCCCCAGGUGUGUGACCCCUGAUGAGUUGGUUUCUCUGAGCCUCAGACUUCUCAUCUGUAAGACAACGAAAGCAGGGUCUUUUUAUCUUUAUUUUUCACCUUGCCAGCUCAGAGCCCUUGCUUCUAAGGGGAAAGUCCCUUCUGGGAGCUAGGGCCUGUUUUAGCCUCUUUGGCUGAGAGGACCAGAGACCCAGCUUGAACUGCUGUGUGCAUGGGAUUUGAAUGCUGUCACUCUCCCUCUCUUUAAAUGUCC